AUUGAACGCUGGCGGCAGGCCUAACACAUGCAAGUCGGGCGAGCGGCGGACGGGUGAGUAAUGUAUGGGGAUCUGCCUGAUGGAGGGGGAUCACUACUGGAAACGGUAGCUAAUACCGCAUACCAUCAGAUGAACCCAUAUGGGAUUGGCUUGUAGGUAAGGUAACGGCUUACCUAGGCGACGAUCCCUAGCUGGUCGGAGAGGAUGAUCAGCCACAAUGGAACUGAGACACGGCCCAGACUCCUACGGGAGGCAGCAGUAGGGAAUCUUGGGCAAUGGGCGAAAGCCUGACCGAGCAAUGCCGCGUGUGUGAAGAAGGUUUUCGGGUCGUAAAGCACUGUCAUCGGGGAGGCGGUAUCUGACCAGAAAGCCACGGCUAACUCCGUGCCAGCCGCCGCGGUAAUAC
rnacentral:rRNA from 1 species